AAGGCGCUCUGGAAAAUGACCGUGAUGAGUGCUGCUUUGUGACUGUAGAUGUAGCGGCUCAUCUGUGUGAAGUUUCUCCUUACUGAUAGAUGAGCGGAUCCACACAGAGCUGCUGAACUGCACACAUGUCUUUGUCAAACUCCCCCUUCUGGUGUCUGGUCGAGUGGAUGCCUUUUGUCAACGAUCCCAUCCUGGGCGCUGAAAGUUGGCACGCCAAAUGUUGCUGACUGAGGUGUAUGCAUGAGGACAUCUAAAGGAAAUGAGAUGAUUUCCUUGAGAGACUGGAAGGAAGGAGACGCUGG